rnacentral:rRNA from 1 species
GGUUGUAGCAGUACAGCAGUGGCAGACGGGUGAGUAACACGUGGGAACCUACCUAGGGGUACGGAAUAACUCAGGGAAACUUGUGCUAAUACCGUAUACGACCUUCGGGUGAAAGAUUUAUCGCCCCUAGAUGGGCCCGCGUUGGAUUAGCUAGUUGGUGGGGUAAAAGCCUACCAAGGCGACGAUCCAAAGCUGGUCUGAGAGGAUGAUCAGCCACACUGGGACUGAGCCAGGAUCAAACCCUCAACGGGAGGCAGCAGUAGGGAAUCUUGGACAAUGGGCGAAAGCCUGAUCCAGCCAUGCCGCGUGAGUGAUGAAGGCCUUAGGGUUGUAAAGCUCUUUCGCCAGGGAAGAUAAUGACGGUACCUGGAUAAGAAGCCCCGGCAAACUUCGUGCCAGCAGCCGCGGUAAUACGAAGGGGGCUAGCGUUGUUCGGAAUUACUGGGCGUAAAGCGCACGUAGGCGGUUUUCCAAGUUGGAGGUGAAAUCCCUGGGCUCAACCCGGGAACUGCCUCCAAAACUGGAUGACUCGAGUCCGAGAGAGGUGAGUGGAAUUUCCAGUGUAGAGGUGAAAUUCGUAGAUAUUGGAAAGAACACCAGUGGCGAAGGCGGCUCACUGGCUCGGUACUGACGCUGAGGUGCGACAGCGU